AGAGUUUGAUCCUGGCUACAGAACGAACGCUGGCGGCAUGCCUAACACAUGCAAGUCGAACGAAGCCUUCGGGCUUAGUGGCGCACGGGUGCGUAACGCGUGGGAACCUGCCCCUUGGUUCGGAAUAACAGUUAGAAAUGACUGCUAAUACCGGAUGAUGACGGAAGUCCAAAGAUUUAUCGCCGAGGGAUGGGCCCGCGUAGGAUUAGCUAGUUGGUGAGGUAAUGGCUCACCAAGGCGACGAUCCUUAGCUGGUCUGAGAGGAUGAUCAGCCACACUGGGACUGAGACACGGCCCAGACUCCUACGGGAGGCAGCAGUGGGGAAUAUUGGACAAUGGGCGAAAGCCUGAUCCAGCAAUGCCGCGUGAGUGAUGAAGGCCUUAGGGUUGUAAAGCUCUUUUACCAGGGAUGAUAAUGACAGUACCUGGAGAAUAAGCUCCGGCUAACUCCGUG
rnacentral:rRNA from 1 species